GGCUUUUGCUAACCAAAUGGCUCCACGCAUGGAAUUCGCUGGGUUCCCUCAUGGAGUGUGGGCUGAUACUCAGCCUAUGCUGACUUAAGUUGACACUUCCUGGGGAUUCUACAACCUCAAAAGGGCUUCUGGAAGAAGGAAACACAGCGGAGCAGAGGUGAGGGGUGGGAAUAAUUGGCGUAGGACCCCUGAAGCUUUUGCUGAGGGCCCCAUCAUGACUUGGUACAGCACCCCAGAUGCCUUGCGCCACAGUGAGAUCCCCAUCACAGCAGACACUGAAGAAGAAGUGGAAGGACCCACCAGGAAGGUCCAGGAAGAUUUUCCAAGUUGGAUUGCCCAUUGGCUGCGUGAUCUCCAAGACUCCAUGACUCCUGUAGUUUACCCCAAGCACACGUGUGGUCUAGUACCUGAGAGAGAGACAGAGAUUGAGUCAGUACCUACAGUCCUCUGGACACUUGGUGACUGUUAUUCAACAAUCAACAUCGAAGGCAGCAGUUCUCCCGGGUCAGGGAGGCCGGUGUGUCCCGUUCUUGAGGCGUUUGUCGUCCAAGCCAGCUCCAUGAAGGAGGGAUGGAUUGAUGAACACACACCCUGUCCUCUGAAACUUUCCGACUACAGAAGAAAAUGGCCAGCCCGUAGAGGGUCCUGCUUGGUCCUGGCUUUGUUCUAAGCUCUACAUCACCUCAUCUCAUCCUCAAGACAACCCUAUGAGGAGUGCUGUUUCAUCACCAUUUAACAGAUGGGGAAACUGAGGCUCCGAACUCCUGUCACUUCUGCAGGCUCACCAGCUAGUAGGCAGGUGAACUCAGAUCCCAGCCCGGGUGGCUUGGCUCCAGCACAGAGCUCCUGCUGGCAGGAAGCUGAAAGUGGGGACUUAGGCCCCCUUCAGUCACCCUGCAGACAAAACACAACUCUCGGCCCAAACUUUUCUGGAAAACAUCCUAGCAAAAAGUAUGGAUUGUGGGGGUUUUUUGAGAGUUCAUUCCCUUUGACAUAGUUCUGGGACUCUAACUUACAGAAACAAUGCAGAGUCAAGACCAGAUAUCAUGAAGAUACUCUUCAUAGCGUCAUCUUAAUAGGGAGGAGCGAAAACUUACCUGCCAGCAAAAGGGUGUCCAGGCCUCACCAUGAAUACCUGUCAGCCCCAGACGGCCCUUCUCCCAGACUCUCCACCAUGCUGUGUACAGUUUCACCUUAAAGAGUAUGUGGGGCUGGCUGGCUGUGUCUCCACUAGGUGUUCUGAGUACUGAAGGCAGGUCCUCUGUUUUAUUCACCGCUGAAUCCCUAGGCUUAACAAGGGACUAACAUACGCUGGGACCUUGAUAAAUGCCUGUGGAGAGAAGAGGUGAUAGCAGCCGAGGGUGGAAGGUGACACAUGGCAUUGCCUGUAAAAUACUUUCAUCUUUGUUGUAAGUUUGA
rnacentral:lncRNA from 1 species